GACGAACGCUGGUGGCGUGCUUAACACAUGCAAGUCGAACGGAAAGGCCCUGCUUUUGUGGGGUGCUCGAGUGGCGAACGGGUGAGUAACACGUGAGUAACCUGCCCUUGACUUUGGGAUAACUUCAGGAAACUGGGGCUAAUACCGGAUAGGAGCUCCUGCUGCAUGGUGGGGGUUGGAAAGUUUCGGCGGUUGGGGAUGGACUCGCGGCUUAUCAGCUUGUUGGUGGGGUAGUGGCUUACCAAGGCUUUGACGGGUAGCCGGCCUGAGAGGGUGAACGGCAACAUGGGGACUGAGAGACGGCACAGACUAGUAGGGGAGGCAGCAGUGGGGAAUAUUGCACAAUGGGCGGAAGCCUGAUGCAGCAACGCCGGGUGCGGGAUGACGGCCUUCGGGUUGUAAACCGCUUUCGCCUGUGACGAAGCGUGAGUGACGGUAAUGGGUAAAGAAGCACCGGCUAACUACGUG
rnacentral:rRNA from 1 species